rnacentral:misc_RNA from 1 species
ACCAUUGACUCAACCAUGAACUUUCUCCGUAAACCUCCCUCUGGACAUGCCAUUGAUUCUGAGCAAAGCUCAACCCCUCCUGCAGGUAUUUCAGGUUUGAAUUUCAAGAGUUUUGCGUACUCUCUCAACAAAUGAAACAUGUAUGCAUACACGUAUUCCAUUUUCAGAUUUUCCUGAAUAAAUCUGCUUCCUGCCUUUCCAAUGGCUUGUGCCUUAUGAGGGUGACUAUUGCCCCAUUCCACCGCAAACUUGAUAUCUCUGCACUUGUUUGUUGCACUAAUGGGCCAAUAUUGGUGCAUUGGCACCAAGCUUCUCAUGAAGAAAUCGUAGUAAUCAGGUUUUAUGAGCAGGGUCAUGGAAUCGCAUGAUAGGAUAUACUUGCCACUCACUGACCAUCCCCUUCCUUCUAUAUAAAUUUUGUAUCUGUGGGUGCAUUGGUCUUCUAAGUUUGAAUGUUUAAAUCCGUGCCUUGUUUCUUUAGGCCAGUUCUGUUUAUAGAGGCGGGCAUUCCAGUCAUGCUUGUGUGAGACACUGCAACUCAUAAGGUCUCCCCUGUUUGGUGUUACUUUUGGGUUCCCUUUCCAGUAGGCAUAGGGCACCCUAUCCUUCCACUUUUUUUUCUUGCUGCCUUCUAUAAUUCCCUCUAACAUACUUUCCCAUGGUUUUAUGUUGAUCUCAGCCCAACCCCAAAAGGACCAAUCAGGAAAGAUGAUGCCCAAUUUGUCUGCAUGUCCACAAUAUUGAAACACUGGAGGAGGCGACGAGGCAUUAGGUCCCUGGUAGUCAUGUUUUACAACCACUGGUAUGUCACCACACCCAAACAUGAGUUCUAGGUCAGGUACCCUGUCAGGAUACAACCUCAGAAGCUGCAAAAUACCCCAUAAGGUAAACAAGUCUCUUGUCUGAAACGAUCUACGAUAUGUCUCCACAUAUGCCUUCCCUUUGGAAAUAACUAGUCUAAAAUCUACAAUAUCUUUAGCUCUUUCCACCAUGUCCCUCGAGAUUCCUGUACUCUUCCAUGGCCGGAGAUCUUCGUGGAUCCACCGGAAGUACUCCGGACAUGAAGCGUUUGAAGAUUCAUGAGCUUCAAAUGCCACCGAAUAAUUGACCUUGCAUGUUCUGACUAAGCUUUCAUUUGAGCAAUUCAGGAUGUAGCCAUUUGAAUUUUUGGGACUUUUUGGGGUAAGAAAGUUAGAAUACUGAAAAAGGUCAAUCCUGAAAAAGAAGGCACCAAAAAGGAGGACUAUGAAGGAAAGGAAGACAGCGGCUGAAGCCCAUCUCUUCACAGCUCGAGAAGCAGUGGAAAAAUGAGUUUGAACUUGAUUUCCUUGCAAGGAGAAGGAGUUUACUUGAUCUGCCAUUGACAUUUAGAAAUAAUAAGAGAAGAUUGGCUUCACCUUUUGUGUAAGGCGAUGGGGUUUAUGGGUUUGAGGAGUAUCACAAUUUUU